AGCAUCUUGGCGCAGCGGAAGCGUGAGUUACUCCGAUAACAAAUUGUGCGGUUCAACAUGUACUGAUAUACAAUAGGCGCCGGGCUCAUAACCCGGAGGACCCUUGAUCGAAACGAGGAGAUGCUA